GACGAACGCUGGCGGCGUGCUUAACACAUGCAAGUCGAACGGUAAGGCCCUUCGGGGUACACGAGUGGCGAACGGGUGAGUAACACGUGGGUGAUCUGCCCUGCACUUCGGGAUAAGCAUGGGAAACUGGGUCUAAUACCGGAUAGGACCAUUGCCUGCAUGGGUGGUGGUGGAAAGCUUUUGCGGUGUGGGAUGGGCCCGCGGCCUAUCAGCUUGUUGGUGGGGUGAUGGCCUACCAAGGCGACGACGGGUAGCCGGCCUGAGAGGGUGACCGGCCACACGGGGACUGAGAUACGGCCCGGACUCCUACGGGAGGCAGCAGUGGGGAAUAUUGCACGAUGGGCGCAAGCCUGAUGCAGCGCCGCCGCGUGAGGGAUGACGGCCUUCGGGUUGUAAACCUCUUUCGUCAUCGACGAAGCGCAAGUGACGGUAGGUGCAGAAGAAGGACCGGCCAACUACGUGCCAGCCGCCGCCGUAA
rnacentral:rRNA from 1 species